rnacentral:rRNA from 1 species
CCUACGGGUGGCAGCAGUGAGGAAUAUUGGUCAAUGGGCGUGAGCCUGAACCAGCCAAGUCGCGUGAGGGAUGAAGGUUCUAUGGAUCGUAAACCUCUUUUAUAAGGGAAUAAAGUGUGGGACGUGUCCUAUUUUGUAUGUACCUUAUGAAUAAGGAUCGGCUAAAUCCGUGCCAGCAGCCGCGGUAAUCCGGAGGAUCCGAGCGUUAUACGGAUUUAUUGGGUUUAAAGGGUGCGUAGGCGGCCAUUUAAGUCAGCGGUGAAAGUCGGUGGCUCAACCAUAGAAGUGCCGUUGAAACUGGGGGGCUUGAGUAUGUUUGAGGCAGGCGGAAUGCGUGGGGUAGCGGUGAAAUGCUUAGAUAUCACGCAGAACCCCGAUUGCGAAGGCAGCCUGCCAGGCCAUGACUGACGCUGAUGCACGAAAGCGUGGGGAUCAAACAGGAGUAGAUACCCGAGUAGUC